rnacentral:rRNA from 1 species
CAGGUCUUGACAUCUUGCGCUAACCUUAGAGAUAAGGCGUUCCCUUCGGGGACGCAAUGACAGGUGGUGCAUGGUCGUCGUCAGCUCGUGUCGUGAGAUGUUGGGUUAAGUCCCGCAACGAGCGCAACCCUUGUUACUAGUUGCCAGCAUUAAGUUGGGCACUCUAGUGAGACUGCCGGUGACAAACCGGAGGAAGGUGGGGAAGACGUCAGAUCAUCAUGCCCCUUAUGACCUGGGCUACACACGUGCUACAAUGGACGGUACAACGAGUCGCAAGCUCGCGAGAGUAAGCUAAUCUCUUAAAGCCGUUCUCAGUUCGGACUGCAGUCUGCAACUCGCCUACACGAAGUCGGAAUCGCUAGUAAUCGC